GCCUGUUAGCCUGUUAUGAAGUUAGCCUGUUAUGAGGUUAGCCUGUUAGCCUGUUAGCUUGUAAUGAGGUUCAUGUGCCUCUUUAGUCUAAGAUUCAGUGGAACCAGAAGGAAAAGGGCUAGUCGGUGGAUCUGCACAAUAACUGUGAACUCAACGCCGCCUGUAGCUUUUUGUUAGCAGAAAAAAUCUCACGGCUAAAACUGACAGAAACUGAGCCUAAAAUCAAAAUAUCUUCAGAUUAAUCUGAACAUUUAGUUCUGGGUUUUUAAUUUUUCUGUUGCUGUUUCCAAAAAAAGCUAUUCUAGAAUCUGUAUUUAAUAUCCCGAUGCCAAACCGUCUCAUGCCUUCUUAUAGAAAAGCCCAGAAAAAGACGGAGGCGAAGUUUAAUUUGUGAUUUGGCGACUGAUUCGCUCAACAUAUGCGACAGCAAAUUAGGGCCAUUUCUAA